CUACGGACUUAAUUGGAUUGAGCCUUGGUAUGGAAACCUACUAAGUGACAACUUUCAAAUUCAGAGAAACCCUGGAAUUAAAAAUGGGCAAUCCUGAGCCAAAUCCUAUUUUUUUUACGAAAACCAACAACAAGGGUUUAGAAAGCGAGAAUAAAAAAGGAUAGGUGCAGAGACUCAACGGAAGCUGUUCUAACAAAUGGGGUUGAUCGCGUUGCCUAAUCCUUCUAUCGAAACUCUAAAAAGAGAAAGGAUGAAAGAUAAACGUAUAUACAUACGUACUGAAUACUCUCUCAAAUGAUUAAUCAUUUGAGAUUAAUGAUGGCGCGAAUCUCUAUUUUUUUAUAUGAAAAAUGAAAGAAUUGUUGUGAAUCAAUUCUAAGUUGAAGAAAGAAUUGAAUAUUGAUUGAUUAAAUCACUUACUCCAUGGUCUGAUAAAUCUUUUCAAGAACUGAUUAAUCGGACGAGAAUAAAGAUAGAGUCCCAUUCUACAUGUCAAUACCGA
rnacentral:ncRNA from 1 species